GUCCUACAAGCCGACGUAUAUAGAGGUACGGGAGAAUAAUUUAGAACCCCCGAAUCCAACUAUAGAACGUUUAGGACAGUUCACGUUUUUCAACUCUCUAAUUAAACAAUCAUUUAGACCUGGUACACCCUGUGGGUGACAUUAAUUAUGUUGAACUGAAAAGCAGAAGGCUCCAGACCUCGGUGGAUACCAGUUGGAUACCCCUUAGUGUUGAAUUUCCCAGACAGCAGCUGACUCCGCGGCGGAUCGGGCGUUAUGUCAAAUCCCCAUAGCAGUCACGCUCACUUAGCGCCUCCGCACCAGAUCCAAAACGCACGUUUUUCAGCCGAGGCUAGUUCGCAGGCAUUGGCCCUGUUUCGGACGGGAUGCGCCUCUGCCGCAGGAUCUACGGUCGCGUGCAGCCAUUUGAAGCAUUUGGGACGUUGAUCAUAUUAAACGUUAUGCAUACUACAGCAUCUCGGAGUGCAUCACCCACCAAUUUUCUCCAAAUCUAACUGGUUGAGGAGGACCGGAGCCCUUGGACCACACCUCAGGACUACUUGGCCCGAAAGGCUCGUAGCCGUCCCUGUCCAAAGUCCUGCUGGUUUGGUUGCCGUUCAAGUAGCUGACAAUAACUGAUGAUUUCAGCUGCCAACCAUUCCUGAUUGUCCCUGUCUUCAUCCAUCUGGUCAUGCAGCGGACUUGGAU